GCCGUGUCAACUGUAGCCAGUGGCUGCGGCUCCCUCUGUCUGGCGUCAUCUAGGGCGCUGCUCAGGACAUUGCGUAGGCCAGUUUUCCAGUUGGCUUACGUGUUUAUCGCGUAGGGCAGAGACUUGCCAAAUUCCCGGCCAGCGGAGCGGCGAGGAUGGAGACUUACGGGAAUUUAAACAGCCUCGUGGGCUGCUUCGCGGCUCCAAAACCAGGCUCUAGGCGGCGGCGACCGCAGCCGUUAGGGAGGCCGCCCCAGGCGGAGCGGAGGCCUGGAGGGGAAUCUUGAUCCUGGGCCAGACACCUGUCAAGAGGAGGCGGAGCGUCGUGCCUCCAGGAAGACUGGAUGAAUAUUCUCCAGGAGCCGGAGGAAGGCGUAAGUAAUAGGGACGUGCGCCGCCUCGUUGGUGUUGAUCAGUCCACCAAGGAGAAGCAGCUGUGGGCGCGGUGGCCGUGCCUGUAAUCCCAGCGCUUUGGGAGGCCGCGGCGGGAGGAUCGCUUGAGCCCAGGAGUUCGAAACUAGCCUGGACAACAUAGUGAGAACCCAGCCUCUAUCAAAAGGAAAAAAAUUAGUGCGGUGUGGUAGCACGCACCUGUUGUCCCAGCUACUCGGGAGGCUGAAGCGGGAGGCUCACCUAAGCCUGGGAGGUCGAGGCUGCAGUGAGCUGUGAUUAUACCACUGCACUCCAGCCUGGGUGACAGCAAGACCCUGCUUACCCCCCACCUUGGCGUCCCCCCCACCCCCCCGAAAACCAAGAAAAACCAGUGUGGAGAGUUGCUCGCCCAUAUGCUCCAAGCUGCUGUAUACUCCCGGUAAUAUAAACAUCGUGAAGGUGGAAAUCCAGUUAACCUUUUAGGUGGAGGACCAGAUGAUAGAGGGCGACAUCUGACUGGGAAGGCCAUCUACAACCAGGCCUAAUACAUCCACAGGGAACCAGUAGGAAACAUCUGGGGAGGACAACCCAAAUAAGUAUCAUGGGAGCAAGGGAUGGUUUGAGAACUUUAAAAAUCGCUGCUGUUUUGCAACGUACCAGGUUGAUGGGGGAGGAAGGACCCUUAAAUGCUGAGUGGGCACCGAGUAUUCCAAGCAACGGGAGAGAGGCUAUGUACAUCAACAUGUCUUCAACGCCAAGGAGACGACCCAUCUUUUCUGUGCAUGCCUUCCUACUUUUGGGGCAAAAGACAAAACUCUGGAAAGCUUAGAGGAAGCUAAGGACAGGAUUUCCCUCAUUUUUUUUGUGGCAGUGCCUCAGGUGACAAAAUGAUAAAACCACUGCUGCUUUACAAAGACUCUAAUCCCCCACUUGUCUUUCAGAAAGAGAUAAAUGUCUUCCUGUUUUCUUGUGAACACACCCAGAAUUACCACUGCCACUUUAUGGAUUGGUUUUUUUAUUUUUUUAUCCAUCAAGUCGGAAGUCAUUUAACAGAAAAAUCCAGAAAUCAGAAUGUUGCUAAUUGUGGACGGAGGUCCCAAUCACCCAGAUUCAUUAUUCUUUGUUCAUUCUAAUGUUGAUUGUGUUUCUCCCUCAGGAAGGCCGUAGCUUUCUUCAGCCCUUGGGUUAGGGUAUAAUGGAAGCAUUUGGGAGGUAUUGCAUCAAACAUAUGUUUGACCACUUUGCUGACUGUAUUGAAAAAAACCCUCGCCUUACUCUGAAAGAAACAUGGCAACAGUACAAUAUUGCUGAUUCUUUGGUAGUGAUAAAAGACGUGAUUUGUGAUAUAAAAUCAGCCACUCUUAAGCUUGCUGGAAACUGUGGGAGGAUGUGUGAAUGAUGAUGCAUUUUCCCUAGAGCUAAUGAAGAAGUUAAAAAAAUCUUAGUGUCUGCAAAACAGGUGGGUUUAAGAUUCAUUGAUACAGGGAAAGUGAAAUUAGUGAGCUACUCAAGUUUCAAUCUUUAGUCAUAACUGAGAGUCUAUGUCCAUAGGAAGAAGUCUUUACAGAGGAAAUUGAAUGCUGUCUGAUGCUAGACCUCAGGCCUCACUGAUGCUGAAAUUGAUAUGGAUCCUUUCCUGGAUUAAAGCUUGGCUUUUAAAAAAGAUUUCAAUAAGUUGCUUAUACCUAUAAAGAGAUGCAGAAGAACCUUCAAAUAAAGCAAAGGACUUGAAGAACGAGAAAGAAGACAUGAAGAAGAGGAUGUCAUUUAGGUGAAGGUGAUGGAUACAGAAUCUGAGUCUGAGGGGAAAUCUGACUCUGAAUCAGGAUCCGACAGGGAGCAGGACAAGAUGGAGGAUGAUAAACUGCCAGAAGAAAAGCCUGGACCCUCUGGCAUGGCACUCAAGAGUCUUGAUAUGUCUGAAGAAACUGUCCAAGCCAUUCAUGUGAAAUUGAACCUUUGGAAUGUAACCUUCGAAGUGAAUCUGGAGAGAGUAGAGGUACCUGAGUUGAAGGACGAAGAGGUUCCAGAGACCAUCCUUCCCUUGUUCCGCUAACAUCAUUUUCAUAACUACCAUCAUCCUUUUCAUCACCAGCCACACAUCCCUAUCAUUUUAGUCAUGUAACAAACAUUGCGCUUAAACUCUGCAGGGUCCUGAGCUAAACUUGGGGACAUCGGCUCAGGAAAUCAUCUCAGGAUCUGAGGCUAUACAUACUUUUGAAAUCCCAGAGGUCUUCAGUCUCCCUGUGGGUCAAGGAGAUGUGCAGUAUUUAAAGUGGAUUGAGGACAGCAUGGAAGAGGAUUGAGUGGGGAAAGCUUUUUGUGCAUUCUGCUGGCUACCUCCAGCGGCUGCCUCCAGCCUUCAUCAACUGCACUCUGGGGAAGAGGAGGACACCUUCUACCUCCCAGCAUCUCUGGAUUCCGUGUUCCUGUCGGCACAGAGGAGCUAAAUGGCCUGUGGAGGCUGAAGGUCUGAGGCUCCUAAAGCUGGAAGAAAAGGCUGGGCCAGUCAGGCCAAGCAAGAACAUAGGGUAACUUGUCUCUGAGUGCUUCAUGGUUAAGGGGGAUAAGGGGGCAUGAGGGCACGAGGAUGGUUACAUGUAGUGACUGAAGGGAAGAGGCAGUGAUGGUGAGACUUGUCAUCUUGAGUCAGUAGGCCUACCUCAAGUGCCUAGGAUGUAAUUGCUUUGCUGCUUCUCAUAGAGAGUGGCCCUAGUGACCUUGUUCACCUGGAAGAGUGUGGGAUGAAUGUCUCCUCCUACGGGGACUGGCAAGUGCUUUAUCAAAAGGAUAAAUUGCUAAUGGUGGCAUUUCAGGAUUAUUUCUCCUUGCUAAAGAGGCUUUUGUUGGUCCUGAAUUCUGAGGAGGUAGGACUAGGAAUGGACUCCAUGAACCUGUGUAUGACUCAGGGAAUAUUAGGACUUUGGCACAGCCUCAUGGGUUGGGAGUAAGUCUUGGCUCUUCCCUAGCCUGAAUGACAGGUAACAGAUCGUUCUGAUGUUUUGUCAGUGAAGAUGUAGAUUCUGAGCCCACCAAACUAACCUUUUCACUUGAACAUAGAAAUAGCCCCAGGAAUCGGACAGACCUGUGUCUUUAGGUUUGUUUCAUAGAGCCCCAGGGGUUGACAGUAGUACCUUGGAGACUGCCUGCAUGGGGAUUUUUUUUUAAAGUGUUCUUUGUUAAAGGUUUGUAAACCACCUCUCUCAGCCAGUUUUCAUUUUAUACAUUACUGCAGGAAACUGAACUGCAUGGAGGUCCAGAAAGUGGGUAGUGCAGGCUGUAGUGCUGAUAACUACUGUACUUCUUGGAUCUUCGUGCUCCCAAAUACCAAAUGGAAGACGAUCUCUGAGAGUCUUUUGUAAAGAUCUUGUAGGGACUUUAGGCUGGGGCCUUUGGAAAGUUCCUGAGGAUUCCAAUGGAGAUUUUGAGGGUUUGUCUUAGAAGAACAAAGAGAAUGAUAAUGGUGAUGUCCCUGCUUUUUACAGCAGAUCAUGUUGUGAUAUAUAUGCAAACCUGUGUAAAGUAAACCCUAUCUAAAAUGUGCUGGGGACCCAAGAUGGACUGCCUGUAUUGCUUCCAGGAUAAAGUCCAGGAUAAAGUGGAUUGAGGACGGCAUGGAAGAGGAUUGAGUGGGGAAAGCUUUUUGUGCAUUCUGCUGGCUACCUCCAGCGGCUGCCUCCAAUUUCUAGCUCUGGUUUUUAUAACCUUGCUUCAGCUCACCUUUUCCGUCAUCAUCCCCUGCAUCUCCUCUCCCACGCUGGGAAAUGGAUGGCUCCACUAUACUGUGUGAUGUUAUUGCUAUGUUCAUGCCGUCCCCUCUGCCUGGAAUGCCUUUCUGCAUGAAUGCCUAUGAAAUGUUGCUGCUCCUUUGUAUGGCCUGGCUUCCAUGGUUGGCAGGAAUCUCUUCUUUUGUGGUAUUCCUGCCAUCUUUGUGCAUCACAGUCAGCUUUGUAUUCCUAGAUUGUAAGCUGCUUGAGGAUAGGGGCAUGUCUUGCACCUGUUUGGCAAAUUGAUGUUUAAAGUAUUUAAAUAACUAAAGCUCUCGCUACAGUACAUAGUCACUUGUGAUUUAUGGAAUUGGCAAAAUUCAACUUUUUUCCUUGAAUAUUCUUAAAGUGAGACUAAUUCCAAAGGAGAUUUUUCUGUCUGUGGCCUUCAUUGGGUGGUUUGCUGUUAUCAGAAAGCUUUUGGUGGCCUUCCUCUUCCCUGGUGUCAAGGUUGACUGUAAUAGGAAAUGGGAGGGGAGAGGGCCAUUUCUGCCAGGCAUUGUCAUAGGUUCUUAACAUUAUUUAACCCUUAUAAUGCAAUGUUUUCCUCACUUUACAGAUGAAACCUGAGACCAGAGAACAUGUAACAUGUAAAGUACAUGGCAGAAUUAGGAUGUGAACCCAACUCUGAUUCUAAACCUAAUGCUCUUACUCUUUCAUUCAGAGGUUCAGUCAGUUCUUUGUAGGCCAUAGAUCCAGAGAAGCUGCUGUAGCCAACAAUAAAGUUGUUAGUUUUUAAAACAUCUAUGUGGUAAGUUGGUCUGGCACUUAAAAAUGUAUCGUUUGCCGGGCACAAUGGCUCACACCUGUAAUCCCAGCACUUUGGGAGGCCAGGGUGGGCGGAUCACGAGGUCAACAGAUCGAGACCAUCCUGACCAACAUGGUGAAACUCCGUCUCUACUAAAAAUUAGCUGGGUGUGGUGACACAUGCCUCUAGUCCCAGCUACUCAGGAGGCUGAGGCAGGAGAAUCGCUUGAACCCAGGAGGCAGAGGUUGCAGUGAGCCGAGAUCUUGCUACUGCACUCCAGCCUGGCGACAGAGCGACACUUCGUCUAAAAAAAAAAUAAAUGUGUUGUUUACUACUCACCACAGAUCUGCAGGAGUUCACUGAUCUCUAGGGUCUGCCUUAUUGCCAACUUACGUGGUUUGGUCACUAUUACAAACCGUCAUCCCAGAAUGAUGAUGCAGAGGCUAGGGCUAGGACCCAGACCAGUGUUUCCACGUGGGAAUUCCCUCCCAGUAUUUCUUCGGAAAGGUAUGUUUUUUGAAUCCAUAAACCCUAGAAAAAUCAGUUGAGGAAAUGAGAAGUAUUGUAAUUAUUCUGUGAAUACUAACACUUACCAUUAUAGAGACAUUACUAGUUUGAGAGAAUCCAACUUCAUCAAAUACUAACAUACUGAAUUGAAGGCUAUGAGAACUGAGACAGGAGUAUAGCAGAGAGAAACAGUCACCAUCUAAUUAGCCCUACUUUUGGUUGCUGUGAUGUCAUUACGUCUGUAUGUCUGGCCAUAUCAGCUGCUAAUGGUGAGUUCUUGCAAAUAAAAUGAUUUGAUAAACAACCUAGCAUACUUUAUACAAAUCUUACAAAUGGUGUUCUGAGAAAUAAACUUUGGAAGCAAAAUAA